rnacentral:rRNA from 1 species
AUACGGAGGAUCCGAGCGUUAUCCGGAUUUAUUGGGUUUAAAGGGAGCGUAGGUGGAUUGUUAAGUCAGUUGUGAAAGUUUGCGGCUCAACCGUAAAAUGGCAGUUGAAACUGGCAGUCUUGAGGACGGUAGAGGUGGGCGGAAUUCGUGGGGGAGCGGUGGAAUGCUUAGAUAUCACGAAGAACUCCGAUUGCGAAGGCGGCUCACUAGUCUGUUACUGACACUGAUGCUCGAAAGUGUGGGUAUCAAACAGGAUUAGAUACCCUGGUAGUCCACACAGUAAACGAUGAAUACUCGCUGUUUGCGAUAUACAGUAAGCGGCCAAGCGAAAGCAUUAAGUCUUCCACCUGGGGAGUACGCCGGCAACGGUGAAACUCAAAGGAAUUGACGGGG